rnacentral:rRNA from 1 species
UACGGAGGGUGCAACCGUUGCUCGGAAUCAUUGGGCGUAAAGCGCACGUAGGCGGUCGGCUAUGUCGGAUGUGAAAGCCUCGGGCUUAACCCGAGAAGGGCAUCCGAAACUGGCCGGCUUGAGUACGGAAGAGGGUCUCGGAAUUCCCGGUGUAGAGGUGAAAUUCGUAGAUAUCGGGAGGAACACCAGUGGCGAAGGCGGAGACCUGGGCCGAUACUGACGCUGAGGUGCGAAAGCGUGGGGAGCAAACAGG